ACUUAACCUCACUUUUCUCAGCGGCACAAGAGACGGACUGUACAGUGCACAGCCAAUACUACUGAGACUUCGUCCGCGAGCUGUCGCACUCGUCUGGCAAAUACUUUUUUGGAACCAAGUUUUUCCUUUAUUUGGACAAAUGUUGAUCGUACGGAGGAAAAUCGGCAUUUAUUUAACCUGUAGACUGAUAAAUCGGCACAGCACGAUUAGCCUGAUGGAUUCUUGGUAAGUUGCAUUGACUGUCGCAAACAGCAGACAUUGCAGUGUACAAGCGCAUACCUAUAUACAUAUGAACCAACUCUUAUAAACUGGCAACGGCACUGUAUGUAAGUACGUUUUAUAGGUGUUCCGUGUUAAAAAGGGGCUUUUAUGAGGGCCAAGAUGUUCCGGAUUAAAAAGGGGGCCUUUAUGAGGGCCAAGCGCUACACGGCGAUCCAGGCGUGUGACGCUAUAAGCGUGGCUGUCCGACGGGGCGAGGCGCGCUAAUGGCCGGCCGUAUGGAAGGUCCGGGCCAGGAAAAACCCAGAGACCCGCAAUUGAAAAGGGACCGGUCAUAAAGCGCGUCCCGAAAGAAAAGCCGCUCGGAAAGCACGGUGCGUAAACGACGCAGACAGCGCUGGAGUUUUUUGGUCGGGACCGCUCGGACGAUAGCUAGUAAAAUCGCUCGAUGCGAACGUGCGGCAACGCACGACGACGGCAUUAACAGAGCAAAGCGUCUUUCCAGAAAACUUGCUUCCCCGAAAAUGGCGAUGAGCAUAGCGGCUCAAAAGUGCGAUAUGCGAUGUGCGGGUUUGCGUGUUAGAUUUGCGUGCUACACGAGGUAUGUUACGUGUAGCGCGCCAGCGUAUAGGACCUACACAAAUUCUGUAAGCGUAGGAUGUGUGGGCUAUGCGUGCGUGUAUGGAUGUAUGCAUGAAUGAACCGUAAGUCGGCCCGCAGAUUUGAAUGCUGAGGUAGAAGCCUGUUCUCCCCGGAGCGCGCCCUCUCACAUCGCACGGACGCAAGCCGAUCGACUCGCGGACGCGGCGCCGAACAGUUCGUCGGCAACUCCACGAGGCUUGUUGACCUCACGAGGGAGCUAAGCUCCCGGUGCCCAAUGCAGGUCCGCCUAACGCUCGGGAGUCCGAGGAGGCUUUAGACCUCACGAGGGAGCAAAGGCUCACGGUGCCAAAUGUAGGUCACCUGAUGGCGUCGCGAUAGGACGCGAGUUCGAAGAUGGCGUGCCGUUGCUCCGGUGGUGUCCGGAGGUCGUAGAGAGGGCGGCGUUGACUAUGGAGCAAGAAGGGGGGGGGGGGGGUCGAGCAACGAGAUUCUUAGCACGAAGCAACGACCACCCCCGCGCAGUCCUCCAAGCAGGACAAGGAGGGAGAAACGACCCUGUAGAGGGGGAAGAGCAGGGCCCAGCUCGGCGGAAAAUUCUAACGGACCGACACUUCGUUCGCAGCUCUCGUCAAGAGUAGUAGAGAGAUGACCUAGAUUAAGGUGACACUGCGAAUACAACUUUGUAAACUUGUAUCGAGACUUAUUAUGUACCUAAAUAAAUUAUACAUAUAUACACGGA
rnacentral:lncRNA from 1 species